rnacentral:ribozyme from 14 species
AUUUUUUUUAUUAUUUAUUUAUGAAAUCAAACAUGAAAAAAAAAAAUUACAACAGCAGUUGUUGUUAUUAUUAAACAUUCU